AAGACUGGAAUCAAGCUGCUAAUCAAGCUUCACUACCCUGAUUGCUAGCAUUGCCACCUGGAUCCCUCAUCAUACUGAAUGGCAAAACAUUCACCAUUUUACACUGGAUACAAAGGAAAGGUUUCUGUGUAUCCAGUGCUCCCUUGGAUGUCAUUUGAUAGAAGAACCUACAUUUUUUUCUUCCAGGUUAAUAGUCAAUGCUCCAUAUGCCAUUUGAUUAAUUCACCCCUUUCCUACUGAUUUUAAAUAUUUUUAUGUACUAAAUUCUCACUUGUAAAGAUAUUGCAUAUGGCUACUCAUGACCCAUUCUCUACAUUGUUUUAUUAAUAACAUGUUUUGGAACAAGACUGGCACAUACCUCAUAGGCACCAAAAAUCCUAUCUUUCUGGCCUGAUAAUGUUUCACUGAAGUGUAUUCAAAUCAAGAUUAGUAAAGGACAAUGCCUCCUAGGACUCUGGAAAUGGAGCAUCACAGACCAGUUACGUUGUUAUUCUCGAGCUGCCAGCAGCCUUGCCAAGAAUAUGCAUCUAUAAUAAGAGCAGAUAAUGUCCAGUUAGUGCUAUUCUCUGAAAAUCAAGAGAUAACUUUACUGUUUUUAUAAUAGUUGGUAAUAUCAAGAAAGUCUUAAAAUUUUUUCUCGGUUUCUUAUGAUAUUUAGAAUCAUGUCUACUUUUAUAUAUAAUCUUUUAGGAUUAUGACUGGAUUUGCUAUUAAGUUCAGGAUCAUCUGCCCACUAGGAUGGAACCAGUUCAGCCAAGUGGCCUGAAUCAUGCAUUGGGAGGCCAGGUGACAAAAGUCCCCUGACUGGACACUCAGGCCUCACCUGCUGUGCCCUUGCUGGCAGGACACCUCUUCUAUAUCAUACAUUAUCAACUGGAGACUGUGAUCUGUGCUGUAGUCAUAGCUCCCUUCCCCCACCUGGCUCAUUGCUCCAGGUUAUGGACUUUUAUUUCAACAGAUGGAUGCCUCAUCUAGAGACACUGGAGGAGUCAAUUUUCUAUCUGCCUGCCUACUAAGGGUCUUCAAGCUAAUAAAAAAGCCUCCAUGAAGGCAAGAAUUUGUAUCUGUUUUGUUCAUACUGUAUCCCAAGCAUAGGAAACAGUCCCUCUAUCUAUUGGGCACUCAGAAAUACUUGUUGAAGGUAGAAUUAUCUAAAUGAAAUCUGAACAUUUUUCCUUUCAAUGCUGGAAAUUCUCUUUUUAGAGUCAUGAUUUAUUAUAAAUAGGUAAGGAAAAUUGUUGCUGU
rnacentral:lncRNA from 1 species